GGGCCGAUGGUCUAACGGUAUGACGCCGCCUUCGCAAGGCGGAGACUCCGGGUUCAAAGCACCCUUUUCAAAACCGGGAACUGCUUUGCAGUUUACGGCCGUAAGCCGCAAGGCUUCCGGAGGCUGCACCCAAAAAUGGUGAUGGAAAUCCCGGUCGGUCCA
rnacentral:tRNA from 1 species